ACUCUCCAAAUUGUCGUUGUGGUGAUGUAGAAACAAAUGCUCACUUCCUGUUAUCUUGUCCUAUAUAUACUAAUUUAAGACAAGAACUAUUAGAUUCUGUUUCAGUUCUUCCUGUCCAAGUUAACACAAAAACUUUGAUUUUUGGAUCAACGGUACUCUCAGAUGAGCAAAAUAGUCUUUUAUUUAGUUUGGUGCAGAAAUAUAUUAUUAAAAGUAAACGUUUUAACCCUUGAUGUUAAUGCUUCAUCACUCAAUAGGAACCAAAGCAUUUCACACUGUAUACAUUACAAUAAUUCAUGUUUAUUUUUUAUUUUUUUUAUUUUUUUUUUUUUCAUUAAUUUUUUUCUUCUUUUUUUUUUCUUCUUUCACCUUUUUCAUAUUCAUAUAUUUAUUACAGAGCAUGCCAGUAUUUAUAUUUAUGUAUUGUUCAAUAAGUG
rnacentral:lncRNA from 1 species